rnacentral:rRNA from 1 species
CCUACUGGAGGCAGCAGUGGCGACUAUUUCCCCCUGUGCGAACGCCUGCAUCCUCCCCUCCUCUUUCUCUCUUCCUUCCUUCUUUUCUUCCCUCUCUUUCCUCCAUGAAGAUAAUGACGGUACUUGAGGAGGAAGCCCCGGCUAACUACGUGCCAGCAGCCGCGGUAAUACGUAGGGGGCUAGCGUUAUCCGGAAUUACUGGGCGUAAAGGGUGCGUAGGUGGUUUCUUAAGUCAGAGGUGAAAGGCUACGGCUCAACCGUAGUAAGCCUUUGAAACUGGGAAACUUGAGUGCAGGAGAGGAGAGUGGAAUUCCUAGUGUAGCGGUGAAAUGCGUAGAUAUUAGGAGGAACACCAGUUGCGAAGGCGGCUCUCUGGACUGUAACUGACACUGAGGCACGAAAGCGUGGGGAGCAAACAGGAUUAGAUACCCGUGUAGUC